GUGGCCCUAGUAAAUCAUUAUAUAGCCCUGUCAGUGCUAAGUUAUAGGUUAAUCCUUUGAGCCAUA
rnacentral:tRNA from 1 species